rnacentral:rRNA from 1 species
GAUGAACGCUAGCUACAGGCUUAACACAUGCAAGUCGAGGGGCAGCAUGGUCUUAGCUUGCUAAGCCCGAUGGCGACCGGCGCACGGGUGAGUAACACGUAUCCAACCUGCCGUCUACUCUUGGACAGCCUUCUGAAAGGAAGAUUAAUACAAGAUGGCAUCAUGAGUCCGCAUGUUCACAUGAUUAAAGGUAUUCCGGUAGACGAUGGGGAUGCGUUCCAUUAGAUAGUAGGCGGGGUAACGGCCCACCUAGUCUUCGAUGGAUAGGGGUUCUGAGAGGAAGGUCCCCCACAUUGGAACUGAGACACGGUCCAAACUCCUACGGGAGGCAGCAGUGAGGAAUAUUGGUCAAUGGGCGAGAGCCUGAACCAGCCAAGUAGCGUGAAGGAUGACUGCCCUAUGGGUUGUAAACUUCUUUUAUAAAGGAAUAAAGUCGGGUAUGGAUACCCGUUUGCAUGUACUUUAUGAAUAAGGAAUCGGCUAACUCCGUGCCAG